AUGAAAGGAAAAAAAAAAUGAUCAUCGUUUCUGAAAGUUCCUGAAAGUUGUGAAAAUGCAGAGAGAAGAAAGCUUUAAGGAGAAGAAGAAACCCUUUGAAGAAAAACACUGUUAUGAAAUACAUCACAUCAAAAAUAGGGAUUACCCUGAAACCUAGAAACCCCAUAAGAAAUGUUUAAUUUACUAGAAACCAGAAGAUCAGGAUCUCUCAAGCUCUUACCAACUCCUUCCCUCAUACAGGUAUGGA
rnacentral:lncRNA from 1 species